GGGCCCAUAGCUCAGUUGGCAGAGCGGCCGGCUCAUAACCGGUUGGUCCCUGGUUCGAGUCCAGGUGGGCCCA
rnacentral:tRNA from 1 species